rnacentral:rRNA from 1 species
UACAGAGGUCUCAAGCGUUGUUCGGAAUCACUGGGCGUAAAGGGUGCGUAGGUGGUUAGGCAAGUCAGAUGUGAAAGCCCGGCGCUUAACGCCGUAAUUGCAUUUGAUACUGCCUGACUAGAGUUUUGAAGGGGAGUCUAGAAUUCACGGUGUAGCAGUGAAAUGCGUGGAUAUCGUGAGGAAUACCAAAGGCGAAGGCAGGACUCUGGGCAAAUACUGACACUGAUGCACGAAGGCUGAGGUAGCAAACGGG